UCAUCUCAACAAAGAAAACUCUCUCUCUCUCUCUCUCACUAAUCUCGCACCUCAUUCACUCGUCACUCUCAGCCGGAUCUCGCGGUCGGACUUCAAUUCAAAACUCUCAACUGGACUUUAAUGCAAUCGGAGAGAAAGGGCUUCAAUUAGGGUUUGAGAAAAAGGGGCUCGCUUGUUCAAUUAAUCUAGGGAUCCAAGAAUAGGGCUUCGAUUUAAGUCGCAAUAUAGAGUCUCAAGCUCAUACUCGGUGGACAUGGGAAUUGGAAUAUUUGGUUUUAGUUUGAUUUUGGGAAAUUUUAGUUUUAGCAAUCUGGGAGCUUUGAUUGGAGGUUGUAUUCGACUCUUUUUAGUUCUUGUUUCGGUUUUGGGGUUUGAUGCUGGUUCAAGUUUGGGUUCGAGCUUGGAGGAGGGCAUUUAUCUAUCAAUUUAGCUAGAUCCUUGCAGGAGCUAGGAGACAAAUUUGAGGAUUUCUAUCCACGUGAACACAAUGGUGCUGAAGCUGAUUAUCAUGGAGAGCGCCAGUGAAAAGGAUGAGUCCAGUAACAAAAUGCCCAAUUUUGUGUAUAUUUCAAGAGAAAAGAAGACUACAGCCCACAACUACAAGGCUGGUGUGCUCAACGUUCUGGAAACUGGUCAGUGCAGUUUUGAUGGGCUCCUGUUUUAAUUGGAUUUUCAGUUUUGGACAUCCACAGUAAAGGCACGUGGCUCAUUUCGGGUCUUCUUCUAAUGCGCAAUUUGAGCCUCUAUUUAUAGCGAGACAGCCACAUCAAAAGCAGCAACAGGUACACGGGAUGGGGACACCUGUCCAGAACACACUGCAAUCUUCUUACAUUGAGGAAGCAAGCUCGAAUUUCAAUUUCCAAGUAUAGUUAGAUUUUAUAUUGCACCUGGCGAGUAAUUAACUUAUAAUCUUGAUGUAAUACCUAAGUUAGUUUUAGUUUUAUGCACUAGUACUUAUAUUGGUAUGGUUGCUAGUUGGUUGGCUUGGACCUCUGUUUUUUGUAUUUGGAUUGUGUUUGUCGCUGAAUAUUGGUUGGUAAAUUUGAAAUGGGAAGUGCUAUUGUCUUUUUUUUUCCUGUAAAGUGUUGGCAAAGAGUUUUUGUAAAGUGUAGGUAUUAUUGUA